rnacentral:rRNA from 1 species
AGGCUCAACACAUGCAAGUCGUGCGAGAAAGUAUCUUCGGAUAUGAGUAGAGCGGCGGACGGGUGAGUAACGCGUAGGAAUCUACCUAGUAGAAGGGGAUAGCCCGGGGAAACCCGGAUUAAUACCGUAUACCUCCUUCGGGAGAAAGAAGGCCUCUCUUUGAAGCUUUCGCUACUAGAUGAGCCUGCGUAAGAUUAGCUUGUUGGUGAGGUAAAGGCUCACCAAGGCGACGAUCUUUAGCUGGUCUGAGAGGACGAUCAGCCACAUUGGGACUGAGACACGGCCCAGACUCCUACGGGAGGCAGCAGUGGGGAAUAUUGGACAAUGGGCGCAAGCCUGAUCCAGCCAUACCGCGUGUGAAGAAGGCCUUCGGGUUGUAAAGCACUUUAAGCAGGGAGAAAAAGUUAUAAGUUAAUACCUUAUAACCCUGAUGUUACCUGCAGAAUAAGCACCGGCUAAUUCCGUGCCAGCAGCCGCGGUAAUACGGAAGGUGCAAGCGUUAAUCGGAAUUACUGGGCGUAAAGCGCGCGUAGGUGGUUUGUUAAGUUGGAUGUGAAAGCCCUGGGCUUAACCUAGGAACUGCAUCCAAAACUAACUCACUAGAGUACGAUAGAGGGAGGUAGAAUUCAUAGUGUAGCGGUGGAAUGCGUAGAUA